UCCACAAGGAUGUCUGCACAG
rnacentral:misc_RNA from 1 species